rnacentral:rRNA from 1 species
CCCUUAGAUGUUCUGGGCUGCACGCGCGCUACACUGAUGCAUCCAACGAGUUUAUAACCUGAGCCGAUAGGCCUAGGUAAUCUUGUGAGUAUGCAUCGUGAUGGGGAUAGAUUAUUGCAAUUAUUAAUCUUCAACGAGGAAUGCCUAGUAAGCGCAAGUCAUCAGCUUGCGUUGAUUACGUCCCUGCCCUUUGUACACACCGCCCGUCGCUCCUACCGAUUGAAUGGUCCGGUGAAGCGUUCGGACCGUGGCCUUUGGACGGUUCGCCGUCUGUUGGCUGCGGGAAGUUCGUUAAACCUUAUCAUUUAGAGGAAGGAGAAGUCGUAACA